AUUGAACGCUGGCGGCAGGCCUAACACAUGCAAGUCGAACGGUAGCACAGAGAGCUUGCUCUCGGGUGACGAGUGGCGGACGGGUGAGUAAUGUCUGGGAAACUGCCCGAUGGAGGGGGAUAACUACUGGAAACGGUAGCUAAUACCGCAUAACGUCGCAAGACCAAAGAGGGGGACCUUCGGGCCUCUUGCCAUCGGAUGUGCCCAGAUGGGAUUAGCUUGUAGGUGAGGUAACGGCUCACCUAGGCGACGAUCCCUAGCUGGUCUGAGAGGAUGACCAGCCACACUGGAACUGAGACACGGUCCAGACUCCUACGGGAGGCAGCAGUGGGGAAUAUUGCACAAUGGGCGCAAGCCUGAUGCAGCCAUGCCGCGUGUAUGAAGAAGGCCUUCGGGUUGUAAAGUACUUUCAGCGGGGAGGAAGGGAGUGAGGUUAAUAACCUUAUUCAUUGACGUUACCCGCAGAAGAAGCACCGGCUAACUCCGUGCCAGCAGCCGCGGUAAUACCGAGGGCGCAAGCGUUUAUCUGAAUUACUGUGCGUAAAGCGCACGCAGGCGGUCUGUCAGUCGGAUGUGAAAUCCCCGGGCUCAACCUGGGAACUGCAUUCGAAACUGGCAGGCUGGAGUCUUGUAGAGGGGGGUAGAAUUCCAGGUGUAGCGGUGAAAUGCGUAGAGAUCUGGAGGAAUACCGGUGGCGAAGGCGGCCCCCUGGACAAAGACUGACGCUCAGGUGCGAAAGCGUGGGGAGCAAACAGGAUUAGAUACCCUGGUAGUCCACGCUGUAAACGAUGUCGACUUGGAGGUUGUUCCCUUGAGGAGUGGCUUCCGGAGCUAACGCGUUAAGUCGACCGCCUGGGGAGUACGGCCGCAAGGUUAAAACUCAAAUGAAUUGACGGGGGCCCGCACAAGCGGUGGAGCAUGUGGUUUAAUUCGAUGCAACGCGAAGAACCUUACCUACUCUUGACAUCCAGAGAACUUAGCAGAGAUGCUUUGGUGCCUUCGGGAACUCUGAGACAGGUGCUGCGUGGCUGUCGUCAGCUCGUGUUGUGAAAUGUUGGGUUAAGUCCCGCAACGAGCGCAACCCUUAUCCUUUGUUGCCAGCGAUUCGGUCGGGAACUCAAAGGAGACUGCCAGUGAUAAACUGGAGGAAGGUGGGGAUGACGUCAAGUCAUCAUGGCCCUUACGAGUAGGGCUACACACGUGCUACAAUGGCAUAUACAAAGAGAAGCGACCUCGCGAGAGCAAGCGGACCUCAUAAAGUAUGUCGUAGUCCGGAUUGGAGUCUGCAACUCGACUCCAUGAAGUCGGAAUCGCUAGUAAUCGUGGAUCAGAAUGCCACGGUGAAUACGUUCCCGGGCCU
rnacentral:rRNA from 1 species